UACGGAGGGUGCAAGCGUUAUCCGGAAUCACUGGGUUUAAAGGGUGCGUAGGCGGCCUUGUAAGUCAGAGGUGAAAGCUUCCCGCUUAACGGGAGAACUGCCUUUGAUACUGCAAAGCCUGAAUCGGCACGAGGCAGGCGGAAUGUGGCAUGUAGCGGUGAAAUGCAUAGAUAUGAUCCGGAACACCUAUUGCGAAGGCAGCAGGCUAAACAAAUAUUGACGCUGAGGCUCGAAAGCGUGGGGAUCAAACAGG
rnacentral:rRNA from 1 species